rnacentral:misc_RNA from 1 species
AACGCACAUUGCGCCCGCCAGUAUUCUGGCGGGCAUGCCUGUCCGAGCGUCAUUUCAACCAUCAAGCCCCGGGCUUGUGUUGGGGACCUGCGUCCGACGCAGGCCCCGAAAACCAGUGGCGGGCUCGCUGUCCACACCGAGCGUAGUAGCUAACCUCGCUCCGGAGUGGCGCGGGCGCCUGCCGUAAAACCCCCCAAUUUUACAAGGUUGACCUCGGAUCAGGUAGGAAUACCCGCUGAACUUAA